CCCUUAGAUGUCCUGGGCCGCACGCGCGCUACACUGAUGCAUUCAACGAGUUUCCUUGGCCGAGAGGCCUGGGCAAUCUUUUAAACGUGCAUCGUGAUAGGGAUAGAUUAUUGCAAUUAUUAAUCUUGAACGAGGAAUUCCUAGUAAACGCAAAUCAUCAAUUUGCAUUGAUUACGUCCCUGCCCUUUGUACACACCGCCCGUCGCACCUACCGAUUGAAUGGUCCGGUGAGGCCUCGGGAUUGUGACUAGUUCACUUCAUUGUGGAUUGGUUGCGAGAACUUGUCCAAACCUUAUCAUUUAGAGGAAGGUGAAGUCGUAACA
rnacentral:rRNA from 1 species